rnacentral:rRNA from 1 species
CAGCAGCCGCGGGAAUACGAAGGGUGCAAGCGUUACUCGAAAUUACUGGGCGUAAAGCGUGCGUAGGUGGUGGUUUAAGUCCGUUGUGAAAGCCCUGGGCUCAACCUGGGAAUUGCAGUGGAUACUGGAUCACUAGAGUGUGGUAGAGGAUAGUGGAAUUUCCGGUGUAGCAGUGAAAUGCGUAGAGAUCGGAAGGAACAUCUGUGGCGAAGGCGACUAUCUGGGCCAACACUGACACUGAGGCACGAAAGCGUGGGGAGCAAACAGGAUUAGAGACCCCUGUAGUCCCUGUCUCUUAUAC